GAGUAUGUCGUCUAAUGGUAAGACAAGAGUCUUUUAACCUCUUCAUGUUGGUUCGAUUCCAACCUUACUCA
rnacentral:tRNA from 1 species